ACACCCUCAAGCUCUGCUUGGUGUUGGGCGUCUGUCCCGCUUCGUGCGUGGACUCGCCCCAAAGUCAUUGGCGGCGGUCGUGCCAGCUUCUCGCGCAGCAUACGCGCUACGGAGGCAAGUCGAUCAGCAUCCACAAAGCACUUUUUACA
rnacentral:misc_RNA from 1 species